rnacentral:rRNA from 1 species
GGAUAUGGUUCCAUGAGCCUCGGCUCUUGGAAUUAAAGGUGACCUCUUAAUCAAAGUUGCCGUUCAGGGACGGGCUCGCGUACCAUUAGCUUGUUGGUAGGGUAAUGGCCUACCAAGGCUACGAUGGUUAGCUGGUCUGAGAGCAUGAUCAGUCACACUGGAACUGGAACACGGUCCAGACUCCUACGGGAGGCAGCAGUGAGGAAUUUUGCGCAAUGGGGGAAACCCUGACGCAGCAACGCCGCGUGAGCGAAGAAGGCCUUCGGGUCGUAAAGCUCUGUCAAGUGGGAAAAAAGCCUUUCGGUUAAUACCCGGAAGGUCUGAUGGUACCACUGGAGGAAGCACCGGCUAACUCCGUGCCAGCAGCCGCGGUAAUACGGAGGGUGCAAGCGUUGUUCGGAAUUACUGGGCGUAAAGCGCGUGUAGGCGGUUUGGUAAGUCAGAUGUGAAAGCCCUGGGCUCAACCCGGGAAGUGCAUUUGAAACUGCCUUUCUUGAGUAUGGGAGAGGAGAGUGGAAUUCCCAGUGUAGAGGUGAAAUUCGUAGAUAUUGGGAGGAACACCCGUGGCGAAGGUGACUCUCUGGACCAAUACUGACGCUGAGACGCGAAAGCGUGGGGAGCAAACAGGAUUAGAUACCCGGUAGUCCACGCCGUAAACGAUGAGAACUAGGUGUAGCGGGUAUUGACCCCUGCUGUGCCGAAGUUAACGCAUUAAGUUCUCCGCCUGGGGAGUACGGCCGCAAGGCUAAAACUCAAAGGAAUUGACGGGGGCCCGCACAAGCGGUGGAGCAUGUGGUUUAAUUCGACGCAACGCGAAGAACCUUACCUGGGUUUGACAUCCUCUGACCGCCCCGGAAACGGGGUUUUUCCGACUCUGUCGGAACAGAGUGACAGGUGCUGCAUGGCUGUCGUCAGCUCGUGUCGUGAGAUGUUGGGUUAAGUCCCGCAACGAGCGUAACCCUUGUCUUUAGUUGCCAUUAUUAAGUUAGGCACUCUAAAGAGACUGCCUCGGUUAACGGGGAGGAAGGUGGGGAUGACGUCAAGUCCUCAUGGCCUUUAUAUCCAGGGCUACACACGUGCUACAAUGGGCUGUACAAAGGGUUGCCACUCCGCGAGGAGGAGCUAAUCCCAAAAAGCAGUCCUCAGUUCGGAUUGGAGUCUGCAACUCGACUCCAUGAAGGUGGAAUCGCUAGUAAUCGUGGAUCAGCACGCCACGGUGAAUACGUUCCCGGGCCUUGUACACACCGCCCGUCACACCACGAAAGUCGACUGUACCAGAAGUUGCUGGGCCAACCCCUUUUGGGGGGGCAGGUACCUAAGGUACGGCCGGUAAUUGGGGUGAAGU